rnacentral:rRNA from 1 species
GGACGAACGCUGGCGGCGUGCUUAACACAUGCAAGUCGAACGAUGAUGCCCAGCUUGCUGGGUGGAUUAGUGGCGAACGGGUGAGUAACACGUGAGUAACCUGCCCCUGACUCUGGGAUAAGCGUUGGAAACGACGUCUAAUACUGGAUAUGAUCGCCGGCCGCAUGGUCUGGUGGUGGAAAGAUUUUUUGGUUGGGGAUGGACUCGCGGCCUAUCAGCUUGUUGGUGAGGUAAUGGCUCACCAAGGCGACGACGGGUAGCCGGCCUGAGAGGGUGACCGGCCACACUGGGACUGAGACACGGCCCAGACUCCUACGGGAGGCAGCAGUGGGGAAUAUUGCACAAUGGGCGAAAGCCUGAUGCAGCAACGCCGCGUGAGGGAUGACGGCCUUCGGGUUGUAAACCUCUUUUAGUAGGGAAGAAGCGAAAGUGACGGUACCUGCAGAAAAAGCACCGGCUAACUACGUGCCAGCAGCCGCGGUAAUACGUAGGGUGCAAGCGUUGUCCGGAAUUAUUGGGCGUAAAGAGCUCGUAGGCGGUUUGUCGCGUCUGCUGUGAAAUCCCGAGGCUCAACCUCGGGCUUGCAGUGGGUACGGGCAGACUAGAGUGCGGUAGGGGAGAUUGGAAUUCCUGGUGUAGCGGUGGAAUGCGCAGAUAUCAGGAGGAACACCGAUGGCGAAGGCAGAUCUCUGGGCCGUAACUGACGCUGAGGAGCGAAAGCAUGGGGAGCGAACAGGAUUAGAUACCCUGGUAGUCCAUGCCGU